GGCAAGGUGGCGUAGUGGUUAGCAUGCUCACCUUGCACCCUGGGGUUGGGGGUUCGAUUCCUGCCUCUGCCC